UAUGGAGAGUUUGAUCCUGGCUCAGAGUGAACGCUGGCGGCGUGCCUAAUACAUGCAAGUCGAACGAUGAAGCUUUUAGCUUGCUAGAAGUGGAUUAGUGGCGCACGGGUGAGUAAGGUAUAGUUAAUCUGCCCUACACUGGGGGACAACACUUAGAAAUGAGUGCUAAUACCCCAUACUCCUAUUUAACAUAAGUUAGGUAGGGAAAGUUUUUCGGUGUAGGAUGAGACUAUAUAGUAUCAGCUAGUUGGUAAGGUAAAGGCU
rnacentral:rRNA from 1 species